ACUCCUACGGGAGGCAGCAGUGGGGAAUAUUGCACAAUGGGCGCAAGCCUGAUGCAGCCAUGCCGCGUGUAUGAAGAAGGCCUUCGGGUUGUAAAGUAACUUUCAGCAGUGAGGAAGGCGGAGUCGUUAAUAGCGGCCUCGUUUGACGUUAGCUGCAGAAGAAGCACCGGCUAACUCCGUGCCAGCAGCCGCGGUAAUACGGAGGGUGCGAGCGUUAAUCGGAAUUACUGGGCGUAAAGCGCAUGCAGGUGGUUUGUUAAGUCAGAUGUGAAAGCCCGGGGGCUCAACCUCGGAAUUGCAUUUGAAACUGGCAGACUAGAGUACUGUAGAGGGGGGUAGAAUUUCAGGUGUAGCGGUGAAAUGCGUAGAGAUCUGAAGGAAUACCGGUGGCGAAGGCGGCCCCCUGGACAGAUACUGACACUCAGAUAGCGAAAGCGUGGGGAGCAAACAGGAUUAGAUA
rnacentral:rRNA from 1 species